rnacentral:rRNA from 1 species
GACGAACCGUGCGAACGUUGUUCGGAUUCACUGGGCUUAAAGGGCGCGUAGGCGGCGGCUCAAGUCGGGGUGAAAUCCUCUCGCUUAACGAGAGAAUUGCUUUCGAUACUGGGUCGCUGGAGGAGAUAGGGUGGCGCGGAACUUCCGGUGGAGCGGUGAAAUGCGUAGAUAUCGGAAGGAACGCCGGUGGCGAAAGCGGCGCACUGGAUCUCUUCUGACGCUGAGGCGCGAAAGCCAGGGGAGCAAGCGGG